AGAACACAAGAUUGUGUUGGUGUAGCAGAAUUUGAGUAUAUAGAUGAGAAUUUCAGGCAUCCUGGGAAUCUGAUUGAAGGCUAAAAGAAACUACAAGCUUGGAGAGUUCAUUACUUGCAGCUUGGACCUGAUACUCAUCUGAUUCCCUCUGCCUUGACUGUCCAGAUCACCGUGAACUUAACCGACUAUAUUCAUUUGCAGCAACCCCAGUCUUCCUUGAAGUAGUAGGGGCUUUCUCCAAAUCAGUAUGUGAUAAGCCUUACUCCAGAUUAUUAAGGUUUAAUAUUCCUGAGUAGGAUUAUUCAAAAAACUAUUAAAACUAUACUUACUCCAGAUGGUUUUCCUUUCUUCUCCUCAACUACUAAGUCUCCUGCUUUCUUGCAGGGUUCAAGAAGGUCUGAACCUGUGUACCCUUCACACAAACUGGCUAUGUAGUCAAUGUUUUUAUUUUAAGUAGUUAACUUUUAAAGUUUUUAGUUAAUAAUAUAUAUUUAUCAAAUUAAAUAUUAAAAAUGUGAAAUUUUAUUCUUGUUAAUAGAACAUUAGAAAGAUGGAAAUAAGAAGAAUAUGGCGAAUUUCGAUAUUUGAAAUCUCAAUGUUGCAAUAAUGUUGCAAUAUCGAGUCUAAUGGAAACAGAUUGGAAAACUCACACUUAGAAGGCCACAUUAGCUUUUGGGCUUAACCCAUUUCUUAAUUAGGUCUUGAUAAUGAUCAAGAAUUAUAGACUAUGAGAAAAUGUAAAGGCCCAAACAAAAAUAGAAUAGGGAAGGGAGUUGACCUAGCUUACAAUCUUUUGAGGGAUGUAAAUACCACAUUUUCAAAACAUAGAUUGGCGGGUUGUUGGGUGCAAAAAGAACAGAACAUCAAUUUUUAGAAGGAACACGUUGGAGAAGAAAAAGAUCCGAAGAAGGAAGAAAGAGAGAAGAAACAACUAGAGGAAAACCACCUCAUUUAGCUCAUCAUCUCUUCACCUUUCUCUUUGUCUUUUAUUUCUUUUCCUUUGCUAUU
rnacentral:lncRNA from 1 species